rnacentral:rRNA from 1 species
AUUGAACGCUAGCGGGAUGCCUUACACAUGCAAGUCGAACGAGUGGCGAACGGGUGAGUAAUGUAUCGGAACGUGCCCAGUAGUGGGGGAUAACGGCCGGAAACGGGCGCUAAUACCGCAUACUAUCAGAUGAGCCUCGGUCGGAUUAGCUAGUUGGUGGGGGAACGGAUAACCUAGGCGACGAUCCCUAGCUGGUCUGAGCGGAUGACCAGCCACACUGGAACUGGGACACGGUCCAGACUCCUACGGGAGGCAGCGGUGGGGAAUAUUGCACAAUGGGCGGAAGCCUGAUGCAGCCAUGCCGCGUGUGUGAAGAAGGCCUUCGGGUUGUAAAGCACUUUCAGCGGGGAGGCGUUACCCGCAAAAGAAGCACCGGCUAACUCCGUGCCAGCAGCCGCGGUAAUAC